GGCUCUCUGCCGGUGUCGUCAAUGCUCGCAACCACUCAAGUUCGCGGCUGUUAACCAGACUUGCUCUUGCGGAAAUAACUUGAACGAACAGGUGGAGCUCGGAAGACACCAGGUCUGGGACUACUACGCGGAGCUCCUCUUAGAGAGCCGUGAUUGUGACCCUUCUUUGCCUUCAACGAAGCUAUUUGAAGGCCCAUUCUUUAACCCUCUCUGGCCUUUCCAACUAAAAUCGCCAAUUUUGGUGUCUCAAACCAACUGCUAAUCAAUCCCUGACAGUAGGAAGCCACAUCGGGCAUGCUCAGAAUAUCUCCAAAUAUCCUCUUCUCCCGCUUAGAAUGAAGAUAAUUUUUAAGGUUUCCAGAGACCCGUUCUUACAAAUCAAGCAGUGAGAACAGAAGUCAUGAAGGACCCAGAACUUGUCAAGUCACUCUUCUUGAGAAUGGAUGAGAAACUGGGCAAAGACAAU
rnacentral:lncRNA from 1 species